UACGGGGGGAGCAAGCGUUGUUCGGAUUUACUGGGCGUAAAGGGCGCGUAGGCGGCCUCUGCAAGUCGACUGUGAAAUCUCCGGGCUUAACCCGGAAAGGUCAGCCGAUACUGCAGGGCUAGAGUGCAGAAGGGGCAACUGGAAUUCUCGGUGUAGCGGUGAAAUGCUUAGAUAUCGAGAGGAACACCUGCGGCGAAGGCGGGUUGCUGGGCUGACACUGACGCUGAGGCGCGAAAGCUAGGGGAGCGAACGGG
rnacentral:rRNA from 1 species